GAAAUGCGAUAAGUAAUGUGAAUUGCAGAAUUCAGUGAAUCAUCGAAUCUUUGAACGCACAUUGCGCCCGCCAGCACUCUGACGGGCAUGCCUGUUCGAGCGUCAUUUCAACCCUCAGAACCCCUUGCGGGAUCUGGCGUUGGGGAUUGGCAUCCAGCCAGCCCCGAAAUCUAGUGGCGGUCCCUCCGCGACCUCCCCUGUGCAGUAGCGAUACCUCGCAGCGGGACAGCGGUCUGACCACGCCGUAAAACCCCCAACUUCUCAAGGUUGACCUCGAAUCAGGUAGGAAUACCCGCUGAACUUAAGC
rnacentral:misc_RNA from 1 species